UGGGGAAUUUUGGACAAUGGGGGAAACCCUGAUCCAGCCAUCCCGCGUGUGCGAUGAAGGCCUUCGGGUUGUAAAGCACUUUUGGCAGGAAAGAAACGUCAUGGGUUAAUACCCCGUGAAACUGACGGUACCUGCAGAAUAAGCACCGGCUAACUACGUGCCAGCAGCCGCGGUAAUACGUAGGGUGCAAGCGUUAAUCGGAAUUACUGGGCGUAAAGCGUGCGCAGGCGGUUCGGAAAGAAAGAUGUGAAAUCCCAGAGCUCAACUUUGGAACUGCUUUUUUAACUACCGGGCUAGAGUGUGUCAGAGGGAGGUGGAAUUCCGCGUGUAGCAGUGAAAUGCGUAGAUAUGCGGAGGAACACCGAUGGCGAAGGCAGUCUCCUGGGAUAACACUGACGCUCAUGCACGAAAGCGUGGGGAGCAAACAGG
rnacentral:rRNA from 1 species